rnacentral:rRNA from 1 species
UACGGAGGGUGCAAACGUUGCUCGGAAUCAUUGGGCGUAAAGCGCACGUAGGUGGCUUGUUAAGUCGGGUGUGAAAUCCCUGGGCUCAACCCAGGAAGUGCACUCGAAACUGGCGAGCUUGAGUACUGAGGAGGGUCGCGGAAUUCCCGGUGUAGAGGUGAAAUUCGUAGAUAUCGGGAGGAACACCAGUGGCGAAGGCGGCGACCUGGGCAGAUACUGACACUGAGGUGCGAAAGCGUGGGGAGCAAACAGG